rnacentral:rRNA from 1 species
UACGUAGGGUGCGAGCGUUGUCCGGAAUUAUUGGGCGUAAAGAGCUUGUAGGCGGUUUGUCGCGUCUGCUGUGAAAAUCCGGGGCUCAACCCCGGACUUGCGGUGGGUACGGGCAGACUAGAGUGUGGUAGGGGAGACUGGAAUUCCUGGUGUAGCGGUGGAAUGCGCAGAUAUCAGGAGGAACACCGAUGGCGAAGGCAGGUCUCUGGGCCACUACUGACGCUGAGAAGCGAAAGCAUGGGGAGCGAACAGG